rnacentral:rRNA from 1 species
UACGUAGGGGGCCAGCGUUGCUCGGAAUUACUGGGCGUAAAGGGUUCGUAGGUGGUGCGGCAAGUUGGAAGUGAAAUCUCUGGGCUUAACCCAGAGGCUGCUUUCAAAACUGCCGUGCUCGAGUGCGAGAGAGGUCAGUGGAAUUGCAGGUGUAGCGGUGAAAUGCGUAGAUAUCUGCAGGAACACCCGUGGCGAAGGCGGCUGACUGGAUCGCAACUGACACUGAGGAACGAAAGCUAGGGGAGCAAACAGG